rnacentral:misc_RNA from 1 species
AAACUGCGAUAAGUAGUGUGAAUUGCAUUUAGUGAAUCAUCGAUUCUUUGAACGCACCCUGCACUCACUGGUAUUCCGGUGAGUACGCCUGUUUCAGUAUCAUUGAAAACACACAAUCAAAACAUUUUCUUUGGUUUGAUUGGCUUUGGGUCUAUCAAAAAGUUUGGCUUGUUUCUUACAAGCCAAGCGGCCUGAAAUAUAUUGUCUGGCUAAUUGCAUCGUUGAUGAUCGCUAUUAGACUUUGGCUUUUUUAAAUGAACUGGAGGUUGAUUAACCAGUUUUAGCUUUAGUCAAAUGGUCAUUGUAAAAAAAAUCUCGAUCUUGGCUAGGUGUUUAUAGCCGAAAAUUUUUUUUUGGCUAUAACCGAAACCAAUAUAAUCACAUUUAGUUAUCGAUCUGAAAUCAGGUGGGACUACCCGCUGAACUUAAGC